GUUAACGCUGGCGGUAGGCCUAACCCCUGCAAGUCGAACGGCAGCACAGUAAGAGCUUGCUCUUACGGGUGGCGAGUGGCGGACGGGUGAGGAAUACAUCGGAAUCUACUUUUUCGUGGGGGAUAACGUAGGGAAACUUACGCUAAUACCGCAUACGACCUACGGGUGAAAGCAGGGGAUCUUCGGACCUUGCGCGAUUGAAUGAGCCGAUGUCGGAUUAGCUAGUUGGCGGGGUAAAGGCCCACCAAGGCGACGAUCCGUAGCUGGUCUGAGAGGAUGAUCAGCCACACUGGAACUGAGACACGGUCCAGACUCCUACGGGAGGCAGCAGUGGGGAAUAUUGGACAAUGGGCGCAAGCCUGAUCCAGCCAUACCGCGUGGGUGAAGAAGGCCUUCGGGUUGUAAAGCCCUUUUGUUGGGAAAGAAAAGCAGCAGGUUAAUACCCCGCUGUUCUGACGGUACCCAAAGAAUAAGCACCGGCUAACUUCGUG
rnacentral:rRNA from 1 species